GGAAUAUAAGAACUCGUCUCUUAACUUUUAAUUAGAAAAGUUAAGAACCGGUUCUAAGAGCUUUAAGAGCUGGUUCUUAACUUUUUUAGUUAAAAGUUAAGAGACGGAUUCUUAUAUUUC
rfam:Brassica napus, WGS project CCCW01000000 data, contig: 18766